rnacentral:lncRNA from 1 species
GGCAAACUGCUCCGGUCCCUUCCCACGCUGUGGGAGCUUUGUUCUUUCUCUGUUUGCAAUAAAUCUUGCUGCUGCUCACUCUUUGGGUCCCCAGUGCCCUUAUGAGCUGUAACACUCACCGCGAAGGUUUGCAGUUUCACUCCUGAAGCCAGCGAGACCACGAACCCUCCGGGAGGAACGAACAACUCCGGACACGCCGCCUUUAAGAACUGUAACACUCACCGCGAGCGUCCGCAGCUUCAUUCUUGAAGUCAGUGAGACCAAGAACCCACAAUUCCGGACACAGUAGGAGCCAGUGUUACAAAAAACAAAAGCAGAACCAAUUUCCUGCCUUCAAGGAACAUGAAGUCACUGAAUCCCAUCAUCUUUAUUGAGAGACAUUCCUUUGGAAAGAAUACUUCCAAUCAUUCUAUCAAAAAUCUUAUACUUGAAGAGAAGCCCUGCUGGAAUGAAAGCUCCAGAUGGCCUUGUUUCAGAGUACGGGAAUGGACGAAGAUAGAAUAUUACCAGAACCAAAGUACAAGUCCUGCUACAAAUAGGGUGCUUCUCUGAUCCUGACAUGAAAAAUAUAUGUUCAAAGCUACAGUCAUGGGAUUAUAACCUAUGUCUCAAAAAUCAUUCAGCCUCAUUGUUCAAGCCCAAGAAUUCACCCAAGGAUGAAGAGUGUUAGAUAUUAAUGUAGACUCAAAGCUUGUUACCUAUUACUACAUGACAAGGAUUUUAUGUUUUUUUUCUUACUUCAGUGCUCAUAGUGGCUUCCUACAUCAUGUUGACUAGGUAUCAAGCCAUUUCCUAGCUCCCUGUAGCAAGUUUAUUUCUCUCAUCUUUUGCAGUUUUCUACACAGGACCUGACCAGUUUUGCUUUGUGUCUUUUGCUAUGUCAUACACUGAAUGAGUAAUCCUAUUAUUCAAAGAGAUUAUUUUACUAAGUUAGUAUUUUAAGCAUAGCUUAUAGUAGAGUGAGCAUAAUUGAGCAACACCAAACUUUUAAAAUGUAUUUCUUACCCAUUUACAUGAAUAGUUUCAUUUAAUUUAUUGGCAAGUCUACAAGUGUCUUUGAGGGUUGACUUUCUGACUUCACAGCACACAGAUGCCAGGAGAUGUGACUUUUGCUUCUUUUUCUAAAGUUAUAACUGAACAAUUACUACAUGUCUUUUAAUUUCUUUCUAUUCCCUGGUGAGAGUGCAUUGGGAAGAAGAAACCAUCACUGCCAUAUUGUUAUACACAUUCAUUUUUACUACACUUUCUGCAUUUUUAGUGAAAGAGAUAAUCUUCAUUUUCUCUGAUGCUUCUUUCCCAACUUCAGCUGCAGAUCCCAUCUCCUCUUAACUCAUCAGGAAACUUAAUCAUUUCCUUCCUCUCUCCUGUUUAUUUAAUCCCUCUCUCCCGCUCUAUCUCUCCAUUGGCUCUACAUUCUCAGAUAUAGCUCCUGCUUAAAAAUAUCUUCCUUAGACAAAGUUACCGAUCUGCCUUCUGUUGUUGACCUGUCUCUCUCCUUGAAAGGGUUGACAACAUUUGCACUUUUCAUGUUGUAAUUGUCUAUACAUUUUUAAAUUUAUUGCCACCUGGUUUCCUCUUCAACCAGGCAAUUAAAAUAGCUCUUGCCAAAAUCACUGAUAAUAAAUAGUCACUCUUCUUUUCCAGUUUUUAUAUUGAUGUCUCUAAAGAAUUUUUUCUCAGUUGGUCACUGGUCACUCCUUACUAUUAUAAACUAAUUUAUCUGAGCUUAUGUGAUAUCAUAGUCUCAUAUUCUCUUGGCUUUCUUCUCAUCUUUCUGACUACUCCUACUGUACAUUUGGGAUUAGAUUUUUUUCCACUUUAAGUAAUAAUGUUUCUAACUGUAUGAUUUCAGGGACCAUACUGCAAUGACUCUUCAUAUAUAUAUAUGAAUAUGUAUAUGUAUAUAUAUGUAUAUAUAUAUAUAUAUAUGUAUAUAUAUAUUUAUGAGAAAGAGACAGACAGAGAGAAGAGAGAGGGAGGAGCGAUUAGUCUCCUAUUAGACAUUUCUCCUUGACUGUUCCAUAGGUAAUUUGGAUGUGUUCCAAACUGAGCUCAUGCUCAUCUAAUAUGCUUUUCCUCCUUUAUUCACUGUCUCAGUUAACCCAUACCCUUACGCUCACACAUUGUUAAAACCUGGGGUCUCUUUUAUCUCUGUGGUUAAUGUGCAAUAAAAUCUUAACAAUUCUGUUUUACUUACCUUUUGACUCUUUUCUCUUUUCUUAUUCCCAGUAUUAUUUUCUUCGUUUAUGUCUCACAAUUUUUCUUCUUUAAAUUACAGCAUUAGCCUCCUUACUGGUCUUCCUGUCUCCUGUUUUGAUCGCUUCAGUUUAUUUGCCACAUUGUAGCUUUAGUGAUGUUUCUAAAUUGUUAAUUGGAUCAUGUUACUCCCUUGUUUAAAACAUUUCACUAACCUCCUGAAAUCUUCAGAAUAAAAUUAUGAUUUCUUAGAGGUGCAGGCAUUUUCUGAUUUCAUCAGAAGCGUCCUUUGACUUGCCUUCAGCCUUACCAGCACACUUAUCUCCCAAAUAUGGACUAGGUUCUUAGGUUUUGCAAUUCUAUAAUAUCACUCUGCACCAUCAGAAUACUCACCACAUUAUAUUGUCAUUGUUAUUUUUUGUUGCCAUUUGAAUAGUCUAUUUAAUCUUUAUAUCCCUGUGUCAGUGCUUGGAACACUGAGAUGAAUGUUGAAACGAUGAGUGAAGAAUGACUGAAAAGUUUUCAAAUUUGUAUUUAAAAUUUAGAUUCUCCCCAGCACUUCGGUAGGCUGAGGAGGGUGAAUCACCUGAGGUCAGGAGUUUGAGACUAGCCUGGCCAACAUGGUGAAACCCUGUCUUUACUAAAAAUAAUAAUAAUAAUAGUAAUUAGCCAGGCAUGGUUGCAGACGCCUUAGGAGGCUGAGGCAGGAGAAUUGCUGAAACCCAGGAAUCAGAGGUUGCAGUGAGCCAAGAUCGUGCCACUGCACUCCAAACCGGGUGACAACUUUGAGACUUGGUCUUAAAAAAAUAAAAUAAAAUAAAAAGUUAGGUUCUCAAGCAAGGAAAUAGCAAGAAAGCCAUUAAAGAACAUUAGAUUAACAGAUAAAGUAAGGAAAUCUGGAAGUGUGUGGAGAUGGUGAGAUGACUGUUAGCCAUGAGGCUUUUGUAACAGAUGUGAAGUCAUUAAAAAAAAAAAUACCUGAAAUGGUUACUAGGGUGAUGUGCAAAAUAACAAUGAUACUUUUUAAACUUAAAUAGUUAAAUUCCUAGGAUGUAUUAUGUCAUAGAUCCCAGAAAGAUUAAAGAAUUACCUUGAAGUAUUCUUAAAGCAGUAUGUAUUCCAAAUGCAUUAUCUAUAUAAUUUACAAAUUCAUACUACACACACACACACACACACACUUUUAGAUUUAAAGGAAACCAAUAAUAAUUUGAGCUGCGUAAAUCUUACAUAAUUGUAAUUUGUUUAGAACAAACUUCAUUCUUUCAUAUUUAAAAUUUUUCCCUAUUUGGUCUCUUAGCUACAAAAGCCUAAAGGGCUUAAAGUUGCCUCUUUGUUUUAACUGUAAUGUGAGCCCUUAUAUGUGCUUGCCAAAUGUUGCCAUGAUUGUGAUUUUAAAAUAAAACACUUUGCUUAUGUGUUCAUAUAAAUAGAAAGUUUGGAAUAAUUAGAUUUUUAUGAGGUCAAAUUCAGAAAACUGAUAUUUAUUUUCUUUAAAAAUCCUAGAAGUGUAUUGUGUUAUUUUGCUGCAGGUGUUAGCACUUACUAAAUUUCAACAAUACACUGUUUUUGAGACCUAUAAAAUACUGUUAAUAUUCAAAAUUAUGUGUAAAACUGUGCUAAAUCAAAACAAGUAUCAUUUUUCAAAGUUUUCUUUUAAACCAGUAUCUGUAUCAACAGAAAACAAUAGCUGUUGCCUAUCACCAUCUGGUGCCCAUUGGUUAACUUAUAAGUAUUUUUUGGUCUUUAUUUUAGUCGUAGAUCCUCUUGUAUGUGGUUUAACAAAAUAUAUUUAACUGAAGCAGAAAAGCUUCUUAUGUAUUGAUUUAUACAUUUUGAUUUUCCAAUUGUUGAAGUGCUUUCUUUUUUUCUUAAUCCAUAUAAAACAUUUUAAGAUUAUUUUAAACAUCACAUAUUCUAUUUGCAGAGGAUCAUUUAGUUCAGUAAGUGAUAAAAAACAUAAACAGCCUCAUAUAAUACAAAAAGAGCUCCCAAAUAGGCAAUGAACACAACAUUCUUGUUAAAUGAUUUUGACUAACCAGUCUUUAUAGCAACAUUGAAUUUUGUGGUUUUCAUUUUAUUUCAUAAGUAAGCUCUAUAUUUCUUUCAAAAACAAAUACAAAUGUUGGACUUUAUUUUACUUAUUUCAUCAUGAUGACUUAUGUAUUAGACCAUUUUCACACUGCUAUAAAAAUGCCGGAGACUGGGUAAUUUAUUAAAAAAAAAAAAAAGGUUUAAUUGACUCACAGUUCCACAUGGCUGGGGAGGCCUCAAGAAACUUACAAUCAUGGUGGACGGGAAAGCAGACAUGUCUUACAUGGCAGCAGGUGACAGAAGCCUGGAGGAGGAGCUUCCAAAAAUUUAUAAAACCAUUAGAUCUCAUGAGAACUCUUUCACUAUCAUGAAAACAGCAUGGGGAAAACUGCCCCCAUGAUCCAAUCGCCUCCCUCCCUCAACUACAAUUUGAGAUGAGAUUAGGGUGGGUACACAGAGCCAAACCAUAUAAAGUUAUUUUAGUUAUUUUCUUCUUCUAAAAGAAGUAAAGCUUUUCUGUUUUUUUUUAAAAAUUAUUAUUAUUUUGUUUAGUAUAGUAUCAUUAUACUCUAAAAUUAGGUAGGAAUUAUACCACCAAAACUUUUUGUAAACACCCUUUUAUUGUAAAUAAACAAGAUACAGAAAGCUACACAAAUGUAUGGCUUCAUUAACUGUUUUAAAGCAACACAUCUUGUUAACUACCACACAGGUCAAGAAAGAGAACUUUGCCACUCACCUCAGAAUCUCGUCAGUUAUGUCUCAAACAUAAUCCCCACCUUCUCUCAAAAGCAACCACUAUGUUGACUUUUAUAGUCUUCACUUCCUUUUUUAUUAGUCAAGUGUGCAUUCUGGAUACUAUAGUUUAAUCUUGACUAAUUAAAAAUUAUGUCGUUUUAUGUCUCUUUCAAUCUACAAUUUCUCCCUUUGUCCUUUUUUCUUAUGAAAAUUUAUUUGUUGAAGAACCUGGGCAAAUGCUGACUGUAAUUAAACAAAUUCCUUUGGUCUCUAUAUUCACUGAAACUCAGUAGCUGUAUCCAGAGGCGUAAUCAGAUUUAGAGUAGAUUACUUUGUGUUUUCUUUCAUUAGGAGGCAUUGAAUGCUGUUUUUCUCUCUUUUUCUGAUGUUAGCUGCUAUUGAUGCUCAGUGCCUAGGUCUAUUAAUUCAUUGGUAGUUGCAAACAAUUAUAUUCUAGUUCUGUCCUUUAUUUUUCAAAUCUUAAGGGGAUAAAGUGCAUACUUCCCCUUAUCUCUUUUGUUAUUCAGUAGGACAGUUCAUUCAGGAAAGUCAGGAUAAAUGCUUGAUUAAUUCCCUUUAGUUAUCAGCUUUCAAAAUAAUAAGUUGACUCCUUUUUACUCUCAGAAGAUGAUUUAUUAGUAUUUAAGAGAAAAUCACUGUGAACUUAUAGAUUAAAACAUUUUGGCCAGGUGCAGUGGCUCAUGCCUGUAAUCCCAGCACUUUGGGAGGCUGAGGAGGGCGGAUCACGAGGUCAGGAGAUCGACCAUCCUGGCUAACACGGUGAAACCCUGUCUCUACUAAAAAUACAAAAACAAAAUUAGCUGGGUGUGGUGGUGGGCGCCUGUAGUCCCAGCUACUCGGGAGACUGAGGCAGGAGAGUGGCAUGAACCCGGGAGGUGGAGCUUGCAGUGAGCUGAGAUAGCGCCACUGCAUUCCAGCCUGGGCUACAGAGCAAGACUCUGUCUCAAAAAAAAACAACAACAACAACAACAAAACUUUUAUUUUAACUAAAAUUAUUAUUCUUUUUUGAAGCUCACAUAGUUGUAUCAUUGGCCAGUGGGGCCUUCUUCAAGUUGGCACCUUAAUUCUUUUGCAAUGAACCUAAUAAUCUCUUACUGUUUCUUCUUUAUCUAAUAUGACCAUGUUUCAGGUUAAUCUGUAUGUUUUCUUUCCCACAACAGAAACCAGCUAUUUCUCCAAGAAGCCCUGGUUUCUCUUAGUAAGAAAUGGUAUUUUAAGAUCAUUAUCUGGGCACUAGGAAAACUUGGUUAGUUAUUAUUUCUAGAUUCCUUUAGUUAAGAGAGCUAGAAUAUUAUAUACAUAUACACACAAGCAGACUCACACACACACAGAUAUUAUACUUCUGCAUUUGAAUGCAUAUUGUUAUUUCGUAUUCAAAUUCAGGACUAUAGAUUUCUUUUGCAUAAUCUCCUCUAUAUUAUAUUUUAAUCCUCACUUCCUGAUAUUGUUUGGCUGUGUCCCCACCCAAAUCUCAUCUUGAAUUGUAGCUCCCAUUAUUCCCAUGUGUUGUGGGAGGGAUGUGGUGGGAAGUAAUUGAAUCAUGGGAGUGGGACUUUCUUGUGAUAGUGAAUAAGUCUCAUCAGAUCUGAUGGUUUUAUAAAGGAGAGUUCCCCUACACAAGCUCCCUUGUCUGCCUGCAUGUAAGACGUGACUCUACUUCUCCUUUGCCUUCUGCCAUGAUUGUGAGGCUUCCCCAGCCCUGUGGAAUUGUGAGUUCAUUAAACCUUUUUUUUAAUGAAUUACCCAGACUCAGGUAUGUCUUUAUUAGCAGCAUGAGAACAUACUAAUGCGUAAAUUGGUACCUGUAGAGUGGGGUGCUGCUGUAAAGAUACCCAAAAAUGUAGAAGUGACUUUGGAACUUUGUAAUAACAGGCAUAGGUUGGAACAGUUUGGAGGGCUCAGAAGACAGGAAGAUGUGGGAAAGUUUGGAAAUUUCUGGAAACCUUUUGAAUGGCUUUGACCAAAAUGCUGAUAGUGAUAUGGACAGUAAAGUCCACGCUGAAGUGGUCUCAGAUGGAGGUGAGGAACUUGCUGGGAACUGCAGCAAAGGUGACCCUUGCUAUGUUUUAGCAAAGAUCUUGGCAUUUUGCCCUUGCUGUAGAGAUAUGUGAAACUUUGAACUUGAGGGAGAUGACUUAAGGCAUCUGGUAGAAGAAAAUUCUAAGCCUCAAAGCAUUCAAGAGGUGACUUGGGUGGUGUUAAAAACAUUCAGUUUUACGUAUUCACGAAGUUACAGUUUGGAAUUGGAACUCAUGUUUAAAAGGGAAGCAGAGUAUAAAAGUUUGGAAAAUUUGUAGCCUGACGAUGUGAUAGAGAAGAAAAACUCAUUUUCUGAGGAGAAAUUCAAGCUGGCUGCAGAAAUUUGCAUAAGUAACGAGAAGUCAAAUGUUAAGUCAAGACAAUGGGGAAAAUGUCUCCAGUGCAUGUCUGAAGUCUUCACAGCAGUCCCUCCCAUCACAAGCUGGA